CCUACGGGUGGCAGCAGUGAGGAAUAUUGGUCAAUGGGCGCGAGCCUGAACCAGCCAAGUCGCGUGAGGGAAGACGGUCCUAUGGAUUGUAAACCUCUUUUGUCGGGGAGCAAAAGACGCCACGCGUGGCGUUCCGAGAGUACCCGAAGAAAAAGCCUCGGCUAACUCCGUGCCAGCAGCCGCGGUAAUACGGAGGAUCCGAGCGUUAUCCGGAUUUAUUGGGUUUAAAGGGUGCGCAGGCGGAAGAUCAAGUCAGCAGUAACAGUUAGAGGCUCAACCUCUUCGAGCCGUUGACACUGGUGUUCUUGAGUGAGCGAGAAGUAUGCGGAAUGCGUGGUGUAGCGGUGAAAUGCAUAGAUAUCACGCAGAACUCAGAUUGCGAAGGCAGCAUACCGGCGCUCAACUGACGCUCAUGCACGAAAGUGUGGGUAUCGAACAGGAUUAGAUACCCGAGUAGUC
rnacentral:rRNA from 1 species